AGGAUUAACGCUGGCGGCGUGCCUAACACAUGCAAGUCGAACGAGGUAGCAAUACCUAGUGGCAGACGGGUGAGUAACGCGUGGUCAACCUACCGUUGAGUGGGGGAUAACUAGCCGAAAGGUUAGCUAAUACCGCAUACGAGUUCGAGGGGCAUCCCUUGACCUUAAAAGGAGCAAUCCGCUCGAUGACGGGACCGCGUCCCAUUAGCUAGAUGGUGGGGUAACGGCCUACCAUGGCUCCGAUGGGUAGCUGGUUUGAGAGAGCGACCAGCCACACUGGGACUGAGAAACGGCCCAGACUCCUACGGGAGGCAGCAGUGAGGAAUUUUCCGCAAUGGGCGAAAGCCUGACGGAGCGACGCCGCGUGUGGGAAGAAGGCCUUCGGGUCGUAAACCACUGUCGAAGGGGACGAUAAUGACGGUACCCUUGGAGGAAGCCCGGCUAACUACGUGCCAGCAGCCGC
rnacentral:rRNA from 1 species